rnacentral:rRNA from 1 species
GCGAACGCUGGCGGCAGGCCUAACACAUGCAAGUCGAACGAACCUUUCGGGGUUAGUGGCGGACGGGUGAGUAACACGUGGGAACGUGCCUUUAGGUUCGGAAUAACUCAGGGAAACUUGUGCUAAUACCGAAUGUGCCCUUCGGGGGAAAGAUUAAUCGCCUUUAGAGCGGCCCGCGUCUGAUUAGCUAGUUGGUUGAGGUAAUGGCUCACCAAGGCGACGAUCAGUAGCUGGUCUGAGAGGAUGAUCAGCCACAUUGGGACUGAGACACGGCCCAAACUCCUACGGGAGGCAGCAGUGGGGAAUCUUGCGCAAUGGGCGAAAGCCUGACGCAGCCAUGCCGCGUGAAUGAUGAAGGUCUUAGGAUUGUAAAAUUCUUUCACCGGGGACGAUAAUGACGGUACCCGGAGAAGAAGCCCCGGCUAACUUCGUG